AUUGAACGCUGGCGGCAAGCCUAACACAUGCAAGUCGAACGAGUGGCGGACGGGUGAGUAAUGUCUGGGAAACUGCCUGAUGGCGGGGGAUAACUACUGGAAACGGUAGCUAAUACCGCAUACCAUCGGAUGUGCCCAGAUGGGAUUAGCUAGGUGGUGGGGUAAAGGCGCACCUAGGCGACGAUCCCUAGCUGGUCUGAGAGGAUGACCAGCCACACUGGAUAUGAGACACGGUCCAGACUCCUCCGGGAGGCAGCCGUGGGGAAUAUUUCACAAUGGGCGCAAGCCUGCUGCAGCCAGGCCGCGUGUAUGAAGAAGGCCUGCGGGUUGUAAAGUACUUUCAGCGGGGAGGCGUUACCAGCAGAAGAAGCACCGGCUAACUCCGUGCCAGCAGCCGCGGUAAUAC
rnacentral:rRNA from 1 species